CACCCAAUCGUGGCAAUGCGACACAGGGGCGUAAGGCUGGAAUUGGAACAGGGGCCAGCCAGGCGCACAUUGGGGAAGCGCGGGGCCGGUAGUCGGGGGACUGCCGGCCCUUUUUUU
rfam:Stenotrophomonas panacihumi strain JCM 16536 contig_6, whole genome shotgun sequence.